rnacentral:rRNA from 1 species
UACGAAGGGGGCUAGCGUUGUCCGGAAUCACUGGGCGUAAAGGGCGCGUAGGCGGUCUGCUAAGCGUGUGGUGAAAGCUCGGGGCUCAACCCUGAGUCGGCCAUGCGAACUGGUGGACUAGAGCACUGUAGAGGCAGGUGGAAUUCCGGGUGUAGCGGUGGAAUGCGUAGAGAUCCGGAAGAACACCGGUGGCGAAGGCGGCCUGCUGGGCAGUAGCUGACACUGAGGCGCGACAGCGUGGGGAGCAAACAGG